rnacentral:lncRNA from 1 species
CCGCCGCGGCGAGAGCAGCUGCCCACGGGCACUCAGCGCGGCGCCGGGCGGGCACUAAGCCCCGGCGGGCGGCACGGCCCCUUCUCCCCGCCCCUCUCCCGCAACUUUCUGGGUGCUCCUCCGGCACCCAUGGCAACGCGCAUGAGCCUUCCCCCACCGCCGGGCCGGGGGGAAGGAAUUAACUGGCGAAAUUAAUCCUUUCCCCUAAACGGUGCAGGAAUGACCCGCUCUCAGUGUCGCGCCUGGCGUCCCUGCGCGGAGGGGAGCGGGCAGCAGCAAGUGCCGAGGUGCGGACCGUGGCCAGGUCCCUCCUGAGGAGCUGGAGCGGACAGGAACGCGAGCAGCGCCCCGGGGCUGGCGGGGAGCACUGAUUGCUCGGGGCUCUUCCACCUGUCUUUAGGAGAUGCGUUUCAAGAUGGGCUUCCAUGGGGAGAAUGGUGCUUCUGCGCGCAACGAACGAGUGGUGUUCAAGAAAGAAGCAAUGUUUCAGAGAUGUUACCAUGGAAACAAUGGAGUGAGGAAGCAGCUAAACAUAAAAUUCCUCCAAAGUCAUUCUCCUUGAAACAGUGAUCCACAAGGAGAUGGAAGCGUUACUGGUGGAGCUUCCAACUCAGAGACCUCUGUUCAGGUAAGCAGCUGCCACUGCACAUUAGGAAAACUUUGAGGUGAAGGAGGGCAGACCAGAUGCUACAAGCCUGAAACACUGAUUUGAUGAAGUAUUGAGAGUGCCUUUCUCUUGGAGGGUUGCACAGAGGGUCAGAUGGUAAAUGAGAUAUCCAUAUAGCCCACAACCGCAGUCAGCUGUGAGGGGAGCAUGAGGGAACUGGUCUACUGAGGCUUGGAACACUGGCGAGACCUUGCUACCAGCAAACCCUGAAGAGCAGAUCCUACCUAUACCCAGCUGGCUUGGGAGCACAUGGAAGUGAACAGCCAGGCCAAUUCACAACUGGCUGGCAGAGCACUGUGGCAUCAGACAGGUUGUAAUGAUCAUCAUAAAGUAUAUUCACUCCACAGCUUUUGAGAAAAGGUAAUUUAUACAAUUCUUUCUAUGCACACACAUCUUCAAUUAUAGC